rfam:Triticum aestivum genome assembly, contig: Triticum_aestivum_CS42_TGACv1_scaffold_004223_1AL
AAGAUACUCCCUCCGUUCUGAAUUACUCGUCACAGAAAUAGAUUUAUCUAGAUAUAUUUUAGUUCUAGAUACAUCCAUUUCUACAACGAGUAAUUUGGAACGGAGGGAGUACUUU